rnacentral:lncRNA from 1 species
GGUUGGGAUACUGCUUAAAGAACAUGUUUAACCCAACCACAUUCUGUAUCACUAUGUAUGAAUGUGUCUGUCCCUAUCAGCAGCCUGUAAUUCAGUGGUUGUUGUUUGUUUUUCCUUCAUCUUUAUACAACUGUAUAUUGGUAUUAUGUUGUAUGGGUUUUGCUCAUUGUUGAAGGCUGUACAGUAACCUAUAGUUGUUUAAUUUCUGUGUCAUUUGAUCUCUUGUGGAGAGUUGUCUCAUUGGCAAUUAUACCACAUCUUCUUUUUUAUACUCAUCUUCUUAUUUUUAUACAUGUUAUAUAGCCUUGUAGGAUUUUCAAUUUUAGUUCAUUUAUGUUUUGAAGUUUAGUAUGACAUCCAUUUUCACUGAACUAGUACACACUAUUUUGAGUCCAUCUAAAGCCUGACUGAGGGUGCUGGAUUUUCUUCGCUGUGAUGAAGA